rnacentral:snRNA from 1 species
UACUAAAAUUGGAAGUGAAUUGUCAAUACAGAGAAGAUUAGCAUGGCCCCUGCACAAGGGUGGCACCCAAAUUCGUAAAGUGUUCCAUAUUANN